rnacentral:rRNA from 1 species
GACGAACGCUGGCGGCGUGCUUAACACAUGCAAGUCGAACGGGAUUUAGUAGACAGAAGCCUCGGCUAAAGAUUACUAAUGAGAGUGGCGAACGGGUGAGUAACGCGUGAGCAACCUGCCUAUGACAGUGGGAUAGCCUCGGGAAACCGGGAUUAAUACCGCAUAAAAUCGUAGAAACACAUGUUUCAACGGUCAAAGAUUUAUCGGUCAUAGAUGGGCUCGCGUCUGAUUAGCUAGUUGGUGAGAUAACAGCCCACCAAGGCGACGAUCAGUAGCCCGUCUGAGAGGAUGAACGGCCACAUUGGAACUGAGACACGGUCCAAACUCCUACGGGAGGCAGCAGUGGGGAAUAUUGCACAAUGGGGGAAACCCUGAUGCAGCGACGCCGCGUGAACGAAGAAGGUAUUCGUAUCGUAAAGUUCUGUCCUAUGGGAAGAUAAUGACAGUACCAUAGAAGAAAGCUCCGGCUAAAUACGUG